rnacentral:lncRNA from 1 species
CACCCCCUCCUCCCUCCCCUAGCCGGCAUCUUCUUCGCCUCUGUAGCCUCCUAUAUUUUAAAAAAAAAUUCUCAGCAAUUUCAUUUCUUUUUAGUUUUUCUAUAUUGUGAGUUCUUGGUGUUGUUGUUACGUUGACUAGCCGAAAUCGUUGGAGUUAGUGAUGGUGGCGGUGACAUUUUUUUGAUGAAAUUUUGCGGAAAAUAAUUUGAUUUAGCAUGAAUCGGAGCUUUGUGAGCUGGAUUAGAGCUUGUUGGUGGUUGGUUGGAGAAGUUUUUUCGACUGAAUUUUCUGAUGGGUGUGUUUUCCGGCAAGUCUCGACGGAAAAUCAGAACUAGGGAGUAUAUUUUGCUGCUAAAUUUCAAAAAAAAAAAAAAAACUUCACUAAGAAUCGAAUUUUCAAGGACCCCAAGUGAAAAAAUAUUUCAAUCAAAUUGUUCAAAGAGAGUUCAUUAAGUCAAACCUCAAGGCCCAAAAAUGGGUAAGAAGUCAGAGAAAGGAAGAAAGGUGAGAAAAGGAAGCUAGUACAUAGGGUGGAAGAUGAAUGCAAAAAUAGGAUAAAAAAUUCAAUAAAAGUUGAGGAUUAAAUUCGGACAAGUCUAAAAGAGUUCAAAAUUAUUUUCUCAACUUCUCUCAUUUAUUUAUCUGCAAAUUUAUAUUUUACUAUUUAUGUGUAUAAACUCUUAAAUUUGAUUAAUAUAAAUAAAUUUUCUCAAAAUUGCU